AAUUCUAAGUGUGCCUCCUUGGAGAAGACAAAGUUGAGUUGCAUGGAAAAGUGGACGAUCUGACAGUGGAUGUAGAGAGAGCAAACACACUGCCAGCUGCCCUUAACAAGAAGCAGAGAAACUUUCAUAAGAUCCUAGCAGAAUGGAAAGCAAUGUAAGAGGAAAGUCAGUUGGAGCUGGAAGCUUCCUCUAAGGAAUCAAGUUCACCGAACACAGAGCUUUUCAAAGCGAAAAAUGCCUUUGAAGAAACUUUAGAUCAGCUUGAAGCAAUCAAAUGAGAAAACAGGACUCUAAAGCGCAGCUCUUGAGCAUGAAGAGGUCAAAAUUCUUGGAAUCAGCCUGGAACUGGCUCAGAUUAAAUCAGAAAUUGAAAGAAAGAUUGCUGAGAAAGACAAGGAGACUGACCAGUUAAAGAGGAACCAUCAAAGGGCUAUAGAGAUAAUGCAGGGUAUUUUGGAUGCUGAGAUCAGGAGCAAAAGUGAAUCCUUGAGGCUGAAGAGGAAGAUGGAAGGAGAUAUCAAUGAAAUGGAGAUUUGGCUGAGCCAUGCCAACAGCAUGGCUGCAGAGGCAUAGAAAGAUCUACACAACAUUCAAGGAGUUCUCAAAGUCUUAUUUUACCUUUCCAAUUGAUAUAUUCUUAAGUAGUAUUAGGACAAAAUUAGGUCUUUAUAUUCAGCACAUACAUCUGCACAUGGAUGAUGCUCUCAGGACAAAAAAAGGAAGACCUGAAGUAGCAGGUGGCCAUGGUGGAGCACAGAGCAAACCUGUUGUAGGCUGAAGCUGAGGAGCUACAGGCAGCUCUGGAACAGAUGAAGCAGUCAAAGAAAGUGACUGAGCAAUAACUGAUGGAUGCAACUGAACCUGUGCGGCUCCUCCAUACCGAGGCAGCCAUGAUGGCAGAAAAGCUGAAGAAGGAGCAGGACACCGGCACCCACCUGGAGAGGAUGAAGAACCUGGACAAGAUGGAGAAGGACCUGCAGCUCUAUGUGGAUAAAGCCAAGCAGCUGGCACUGAAGGGAGGCAAGAAGCAAAUCCAGAAGAUGGAUUCCAGGGUGGGUGCCAGCACUGAACAUGCAUUUCAAAGGUACAUGACUUUUCCGCUCCGUGUCCUGUGUGAGGGUCCAAGUCAAUUGUGGAUUGAUUUUCCAGAUCCAAGAGUUAGAACUGAGCUGGAAGUAGAACGUAAACAAGCUGCAGAGGCUAUGAGAAACAUUUGCAGAUAUGAAUGGCAUGUCGAAGAGCUUACUUUCCAGGUGGAUGUAAUUAAAAAGCAAUUCUCCUAAUGUUUUUUUUCCCAAGGACAAAUAAUUGCGCAUUACCUUUCAACAGAAUGAAGAAGACAGGAAGAACGUGAUGAGGUUACAAGAUCUGGCAGAUGGACCGCAGAUGAAAGUCCUAUCCUACAAAAGACAAGCUGAGAAAGCUGUGAGUCACUAAGCUGAAGUGAUAUUUAGAGUUUUCUAGGACUGUCAUUUCAAACGUUGGCUCUAUGCCUCAGGAUGUUGCUGGAUGGUUUUAAUUCCUUUUGUUUUGCUAUUUCGGAAUGAACAAGCUAAUACUCAUGUCUACAAAUUCAGUAAAGUAUAAGAUAAGCUAGAAGAGGGUGAGGAACAGGCAGAUACUGCUGAAACUCGAUUCAACAAGCUCAGAGCUAAGAACUUCCUUCUACGAAGGUAAGCCUCUAAUGCAGGAGGCAGUUGUUUUGAAUGCUCAAGCAAGUCAACCGGUAGACACAUGGUUUAUUGGCAAAUAUAGCCAUCCUGCAGGAAAGACAGCUCUAGAAGGAGGGAACUUCUGCAUUUCAGAAACUGGUGCUGAGCAUUUGCUUCUUGCUAGUGUUAUCACAGCAGUUCCAUCAGUUGAGAAACUGCCUCAGGAAAGGAAAGAAAUGAGAACUGAUCUAACUCUGAACGUUCCCAAAACAGCUUUCCUUUAGUAAAUGAUCUAUGAAAACUUA